ensembl:lncRNA
UCCCUUUGCUAUGGCUCCUAACCAUACCGGUGUUCCUGAUGCUUCUGUUGUAGUAGUGCAAGACAAAAGACUGUGAAAGCAAAGGAUUCAGGCACGUGAAGAGUGGUCCAUGUGUUGAAAAGGGAUGACCCUGAGCUCAAUUUCUACUUGCGGAAAAAAAAGUGUCUGAAGCUUGCUUAUGUAAAUUUGAUAUUUAAUUUAUAUAUACAGUGGGGGGAAAAUAAGUAUUGAACAUGUCAACAUUUUUUUCAGUAAAUAUUUCCAAUGAGGUUAUUCGCAUGAAAUUUUCAACAGACAUUUUAACAUAUAAACUCAAGAUAUCUGGAAAUAUCAAGAAUUCACAACAUUAAAGUCCAUAAAUUAAGUUAUGUGUAAUAAAGUGGAAUGACACACGCAAGGAGUUAGAAAGUUAGUUAGAAAGUAAUUAUACCUCCUGUCUGUACAAAUUAAUAUCAGCUGGGUUAGUAAAUUGAUGGUCUAAAAUGCUUUUUGUUACCAAGAUAUCACACAAGAAACAUGAUGGGUAAAACGAAGAGCUCUCCCAAGACCUUCUCAACUUUAUUGUUAUGAAACAUAUUGAUGAAGUCGGAUACAGACAUCUUUCAAAACUUCUAAAUCUUCCAGUAAGCACCAUUGGGGCCAUAAUCCACAAGUGGAAGCAGCAUCACUCCAGUUGAUGGGCACGUACAGGAGCUUCUCACAAGAUUUCUGACCAGGGAGUCAGAAGAAUAGUCAGAAUGGUAGCCCAAGAGCCAAGGACCACUCGGAAAGAGCUCCAGAAACACUUGGAGGCAGCAGGUGCCAUCGUCACAGAGAAAACACUAGGCAAUGCACUCCACUGCUCACACUCACCCUGCAAGACUUUGUUUGUACUGAGAGCUUCAAUACAAAGUAUUACAUAAAUUUCAGUUAGCGUGUUCAAUACAUUUUUACCCCCACUGUGUGAAAUCAAAGUCACAAAAUUAGGAAUAUUGAACAGUUGCAUCAGUAGGUCACUUGGUUACAUUAUUAACCAGCAUUAACCAUGUUCAUUUUUUUUAUUUUUUAUUUUUUUAUUAACAGCACCCCUGUUUUUAAUAUAUAUUGUUUUUUUUGUUUGUGCAGAUGGAGCUAUAACCUAUAGGUACAGCGUAAUAAAGACACAAGCCAUGCCAUCAGUGUGGUUUCUAGCUCUAUAUACCACAUAUGUACAUGUAGCCUUUGGUAACAUUAGAGUAACUUCUCAAUGUUCACAGAUUUAUUAAAACUGCUAGACUCAAUGUUAGAUCUUAUAGGUUAUAGCUCCAUCGGGAGUUGUUCAACCAAGAAUCACUAAAGUAGCAUAUUAAUGUUGAUCUCUAAUUAGAUUAGUUGUUAAGCUUAUAUUUGUCCCACUGCUUUACAGUUAGCACAAUUAGUUGAAACAUUGUCUUGAAAAUGUGAUUUUGUCCAUCCUCGGCUUUUUUUAAAAUGAUUUUACCAAAUUAAGUCUUGAGCAUUAUUAUUUAAACUUUGUGUAAUGUAUAUCAUACCUGAAUUUAGCAAAUGUGCUGAACUUGAAGUGUGGCACCAUGCCCAUUGUCUCAGUGCGUACACUUUUCUGAGACUGGGGAAUAAUGCCACCGUAAGUAAGCAAACAUAACAUUCAAAUAAAUGAG